rnacentral:rRNA from 1 species
UGCAGUCGAACGAACCUGAUCUUCGGAAAAGGUUAGUGGCGUACGGUGAGUAACACGUAGGUGACCUGCCCUGGAGUGGGGGAUAACUUCUCGAAAGAGAAGCUAAUACCGCAUAUGCUCGGCCAUUCAGUUGGUCGAGUAAAGCUCCGGCGCUCCAGGAGGGGCCUGCGUCCGAUUAGCUAGUUGGUGAGGUAAUGGCUCACCAAGGCUAUGAUCGGUAGCUGGUCUGAGAGGACGAUCAGCCACACUGGCACUGACACACGGGCCAGACUCCUACGGGAGGCAGCAGUGAGGAAUAUUGGUCAAUGGGCGAAAGCCUGAACCAGCAACGCCGCGUGAGGGAUGAAGGCCUUCGGGUCGUAAACCUCUUUUCUGGGAGAAGAGACAAGGACGGUAUCCCAGGAAUAAGUCUCGGCUAACUACGUGCCAGCAGCCGCGGUAAAACGUAGGAGGCAAGCGUUAUCCGGAUUUACUGGGCGUAAAGCGCACGCAGGCGGCUGCGUAAGUCGGACGUGAAAGCUCCCGGCUCAACUGGGAGAGGUCGUUCGAAACUGCGCGGCUUGAGGUUGGAAGAGGAGAGCGGAAUUCCCGGUGUAGUGGUGGAAUGCGUAGAUAUCGGGAGGAACACCAGUGGCGAAAGCGGCUCUCUGGUCCACACCUGACGCUCAGGUGCGAAAGCGUGGGUAGCGAACGGGAUUAGAUACCCCGGUAGUCCACGCUGUAAACGAUGCGAACUAGGUGUUGGUAGUAUUAAACCUAUCAGUGCCGAAGCUAACGCGAUAAGUUCGCCGCCUGGGGACUACGGCCGCAAGGCUAAAGCUCAAAGGAAUUGACGGGGGCCCGCACAAGCAGCGGAGCGUGUGGUUUAAUUCGAUGCAACACGAAGAACCUUACCUGGGCUUGACAUGGUCGUAGUAGUGAACCGAAAGGGGAACGAGCCUUCGGGCAGCGAUCACAGGUGCUGCAUGGCUGUCGUCAGCUCGUGUCGUGAGAUGUUGGGGUUAAGUCCCGCAACGAGCGCAACCCUCGCUACUAGUUACAAGUGUCUAAGUGGGACUGCCGGAAUCAAACCGGAAGAAAGUGGGGGAUGACGUCAAGUCAGCAUGGG